CUGGUAUGAGUUCUGUUGUUUUCAGCGAACUGCUCUGACUCACACAUGGGGCGAGCGCUCGGAGCCAGAGAAGUGGGUGGCGAAUGAGGAAGGUGCGUGUAAGCACUUUGCCAGACUCCUAGAAACAGGAAGCGGGUAAACACCCACGGGCUGUCUACAGCCGAUCCCACUUAACGUUCUCUUAUUUAGUCAUUCAUAAAUAUUUAUUAAGUACUGACUCUACCAGGCACUGUGCUUGCUGCUGGGAGUACAAUACUGAACAGGGCAGACAAAGUCCCUGGCGUCCUGGGGCUUCCAUUCUGACUGGGGAGACAGCAAGAGGGCACUUAGAGUUCGAAGACCACGGCUGCAGGUGUCUCUCUCACUUAGUCACAGCAGCAGGACACCACACAGCUCACCACACAGCAGGACAAUGAGGAGGGUCUUAGAGCACCUGGGAUGACCGCUUCCUUUGGCAGGUGAGUCAACCAAGGCUGGAGAAGGGUUAUCCAGCGAGCGAGUCGUUGACAGGAGACUAGAAUGUCUACUCUCUGAUUCCCAAGUAAGUGCUCUUCCCGUAGGCCCUUUUGAGGAUGACUAGAAAUAUCGGGAGUGACGGAAUGUUAAGGCAGGGAAUGACAGCGCGCUGGUUACCAAGCUGGUUUCUCAGCCUCCAACCCACCCUUCCAGACUCUUCCGUAAUCCCGGGGCUCUACCG
rnacentral:lncRNA from 1 species